CCCCAGGCGUGGGAAGAUGGAACCAGAACAAUUCGAACGAGCAGAGCAAAACAGAUCGGAAUUACAGACUUCAGGUCGUGGCAGAGAAAACCAGCUGAGACAGGGCGCCACUUACUAGCUCUGAAAGUCUAGGAUAUUUUGCCACUGGAAGACCAGCAGACAAUGUCAUGACAACGCAAGAGGAUACAAUAGGGCUGCUUCAAAAGACAAGUCUUUGGACCAUGUCAAGACCUGGAGCGAAGAAGGUAAUGAACUCCUACUUUAUAGCAGGCUGUGGGCCAGCAGUUUGCUACUACGCUGUCUCUUGGUUAAGGCAAGGUUUCAGUAUCAACCUGACUUCUUUUGGAAGGAUCCCUUGGCCUCACGCUGGAGUGGGCACCUGCCCUAGCCCACAGAGCUGGGUUUCUCCCUUUCUUCAAUCACACAGGGAGCACCACUAUGCAAAGACCUCAUCACAUUCACAGCUGUCUCCGCAGAGCCUCGCACUGUGCUUGGCAUAUAGCAGGUGCUCAAUAAAUAUCUGCCAAAUGACUGAAUGCAUCUCGCCAGCCUCAGGAUGCCACCAGGCCCUGAGGGAGCCAGGAAGAUCAGAGGAAAGUUUUUGGAUUCCUGCCACACCUUACAUUAGCAACAUCUUCUCCGAGUCCUGACAGCCAGCCUCCUGGGACACCAUUCAAGCCAGCUGAAUUCCGGUCACCGCUUCACCUUGGAAAGGCAUCCGCAGCCCUCACCAAGCGGCCCCGUAAUUGACGUCACAGCGGGGCCAGGAGCUGCCCUGUUAAUAUUUAAUGUGGCCUUCACUGCGGCAAAAUGCAGCCUCUAAGAGCUGGAGGGGCCGUGCAGAGUCUCCAUGGGGUUGUGAGGAGGGCACAGAAGGGAAAGGGCUUUAUAAACCAUAAAGCGCCCAACAGAUGAGUAUUCUGCCGACCCAUUUCAGUCCCUGGCUUAACUCAGAAAGAGCCGGGGCUGCACAUGCCUGCAGUGGGACAAGAAGACUGCUGACCAAGCCCGAACACUAAAUCAAUGGGGGAUUAGGGGCUCCCGGGUACAUUCCAUUGAGACAGCGGGAGAGCAGAGCACUGGCGCCAGCCCAACCUGGACUCCACUCCAGGUUUGCCCCCUGCACAGCUGUGUGACUGGGUCAGCAAGUGCACUGCUGAGCCUCAGUCCCCCUUAUCUGUGAAAUGGGAAUGAUGCUUUCCUUGUAGCACUGCUGUGAAGAUUCAAUGAAACGAGUGAUGCCGAAGA
rnacentral:lncRNA from 1 species